GAUGAACGCUGGCGGCGUGCCUAAUACAUGCAAGUCGAGCGAACGGACGAGAAGCUUGCUUCUCUGAUGUUAGCGGCGGACGGGUGAGUAACACGUGGAUAACCUACCUAUAAGACUGGGAUAACUUCGGGAAACCGGAGCUAAUACCGGAUGAUAUUUUGAACCGCAUGGUUCAAAAGUGAAAGACGGCCUUGCUGUCACUUAUAGAUGGAUCCGCGCUGCAUUAGCUAGUUGGUAAGGUAGCGGCUUACCAAGGCAACGAUGCAUAGCCGACCUGAGAGGGUGAUCGGCCACACUGGAACUGAGACACGGUCCAGACUCCUACGGGAGGCAGCAGUAGGGAAUCUUCCGCAAUGGGCGAAAGCCUGACGGAGCAACGCCGCGUGAGUGAUGAAGGUCUUCGGAUCGUAAAACUCUGUUAUUAGGGAAGAACAUAUGUGUAAGUAACUGUGCGCAUCUUGACGGUACCUAAUCAGAAAGCCACGGCUAACUACGUG
rnacentral:rRNA from 1 species